rnacentral:rRNA from 1 species
UACAGAGGUCUCAAGCGUUGUUCGGAUUCAUUGGGCGUAAAGGGUGCGUAGGCGGCGCGGUAAGUCGGGUGUGAAAUUUCGAGGCUUAACUUCGAAACUGCAUUCGAUACUGCCGUGCUUGAGGACUGGAGAGGAGACUGGAAUUUACGGUGUAGCGGUGAAAUGCGCAGAUAUCAGGAGGAACACCGGUGGCGAAGGCGGUUCUCUGGGCAUGUCCUGACGCUGAGGAGCGAAAGUGUGGGGAGCGAACAGG